rnacentral:tRNA from 1 species
GGAGGGGUGCCAGAGCGGUUGAAUGGGGCAGUCUCGAAAACUGUUGUACGUCUUUCGGCGUACCGUGGGUUCGAAUCCCACCCCCUCCG